UACGAAGGGGGCUAGCGUUGCUCGGAAUCACUGGGCGUAAAGGGUGCGUAGGCGGGUCUUUAAGUCAGGGGUGAAAUCCUGGAGCUCAACUCCAGAACUGCCUUUGAUACUGAGGAUCUUGAGCUCGGGAGAGGUGAGUGGAACUGCGAGUGUAGAGGUGAAAUUCGUAGAUAUUCGCAAGAACACCAGUGGCGAAGGCGGCUCACUGGCCCGAUACUGACGCUGAGGCACGAAAGCGUGGGGAGCGAACAGG
rnacentral:rRNA from 1 species